rnacentral:rRNA from 1 species
CCAAUAGCGUAUUUUAAAGUUGUUGCAGUUAAAAAGCUCGUAGUUGAACUUCGGGGUUCACCCAUUGGUCAGGCUUAAUUGUCUGUACUGGUGAGAUGAGUCUCUACCUUCUGAGGAACUUUCAUGCCAUUUAUUUGGUGUGGUUGGAAAUCAGGACUGUUACUUUGAAAAAAUUAGAGUGUUUAAAGCAGGCUAACGUCUGAAUACAUUAGCAUGGAAUAAUGAAAUAGGACGGAUUGAUUCUAUUUCGUUGGUUUCUAGGGUCACCGUAAUGAUUAAUAGGGAUAGUUGGGGGCAUUAGUAUUCAAUUGUCAGAGGUGAAAUUCUUGGAUUUAUUGAAGACUAACUACUGCGAAAGCAUUUGCCAAGGAUGUUUUCAUUAAUCAAGAACGAAAGUUAGGGGAUCGAAGACGAUCAGAUACCGUCGUAGUCUUAACCAUAAACUAUGCCGACUAGGGAUCGGACGCAGUUAAUUUUAUAAUGACGUGUUCGGCACCUUACG